CUCUCAGCCAUGUUCAAAGUCUACGGUGAGAGCAGCGGAGCUACGAUGAAUGGCUAAACGCUAAGCUAACCACUAAUCAAGCCGCUAUGCUAACCAGAUAAAUAAACACUAGAAGUGCACAUGCACAAUCAGUAAGCAGAAGCUCAGAGGGAACGAGCAUAAAAGAUUGAGAAGCAUGUGUCUGCGGACCCGGAGACUGCAAUGUCAGACCCGCAGUUCUAGACCCCUUCUCUUGCACCACAGCUCCAUCUUUUUCUGGAUGAAUCAACAUGAUUGGUGAUAAGAAAAUGUUCAUAACUGUCCAGCCUUUCUAUUUUCAAUAAAAUGGAGGAGUUUAGCUGCAAAAGUAAGGGGCAAAUGAUGAGAGAAGGAGACCUGUUACAAUGGUAGGUAUGUUGUCAGUACAGAAUUAGCCGUUCUCCAGAAUGUUUAGGUGUAGACUGAAUAUUUACGUGUUAAGGAAAAAUAUUUCUGUCACAAUCUCCAGGUGAUUGAUUUAUUAUUAGUUUGACGUCCCUGGGGAUCAUGCAGAUCUGUCUGUUCCACAAGUUGGUAUUUUUAUUAUUCUUUAGAUAUGGUUCCUAUCAUUAGUCAGUAUUAUGUUCAUUAUAAUUUAAGUAGUUUAUUCUUUAUUUUAGAUCCUUAUUUUUCAGCCUCUGUCUUCAGCUCAGUCAUUAGUGGGUUUAUUUAUUAUCGAGUCUGUAUAUUUAUCAGGGUCUUUGCAUUAUUUAGAUUCAUUUUUCUGCUCAGUGUUAACCACUUCCGCCUGUGCCCUUAUCUCCUGAUUCACUCCAGCUGCUCCUCAUGCCUUCUUUCUCCCUCUCCUAUCAGAUCUGUGCCCAUAUUCACAAAGAGUCUCUCAGAGACCACCUAUCUUAGCUUAAAAUUCCUACCUAGGAGUCUUAGCUUCAGAGUGAUUCAGAUGUUGCUGAACAACUCUGAGUAAGGAGACGGCAGACAUUUUUAUCUGCGUCAGGAGUUGUGGUUGAUCCCAUGGCUAGGUGUGAUGCUGUCUUCUAAGAGUUGUGAUUGGUUGAUGGUACAAGAAAAUAGGAGAAAAAUUAACUGAUUAGACUGGAUUAAGAAAUGUGUGUCUUGAUGAAACUUAUUCAUUAAAUGUAUUGUCACACAGCAUCAAAAUGUUUAAAUGUACCUUGUUUACAUCCUCAUCAUUAUUUCUGAUUUGCUUAUUGUUAUGUUUACUAACCAGUCAGUGCUUUAUCUCGUUGAUAUAAAUGUGCACUCACAUGUCAUUAUUUUACUGGGAUUUCAUGCUUGUAUAAAGUGGCAGAACUUGGCAGAACGACCAACAUAAAAUGGAGAAAAAAAGGUUAUUUGUAAAUUUCUCCUCUUUUAUUCAUGGUUAUCCAACAUUUUUACUAGUAUUUAUUUAUCCUCAAUAAAAUUACGUACUAGAGUUGCACCUUUAAUCUGUCGGGCCGCUGAAGCUGAUUAAUUUCCCCCUUUUGGGAUAGUAAAGGUUAUCUUAUGUAGACAUUAAUAAUUGUAUCAUUGUUAAAGAAGUUUAUGCGCUCAUUUCCUCCACUGUUUAGGUGGUGGAUCAGUCAAACAGCUCUCUCUAUUUCCACCAUCUUCCUGCUUCAGACACUAUUAGGCUCGAUAAAAGUCCUCUUCAAUACUUCUAACACUGUAAUUUUAGGAGCUCUCUGAAAAUCUCAAAUAUUCUAAGACAAACCUUAGAAUUCCGGAAAAAAAGAUUUUUACUAAGAUCACUAAGAGCUACUUUUACUCUUAGGAUUCUUUGUGAAUAUAGGCACUGGUUUCAUGUUCAAGUUGUUGCUUAUUUUUGUUCCUUACUCCUCCUAUCUGCUGUUAUAUUUGCAUCAUUUAUUGUUUUGGAUUACAUCCUUAAGUUUAAAUUGUUUUUCCAUUAAAAUCUCACAGGAACUUUACUCUUACUUACGACUGGGUCCUUACUACACAUCAUGGCAGUUUCUGUUUUCAGUUUUGUGAUAGAUAUAUAUUCUCUCUCUUUCUGCAGAUGUACCUCUUCUGGGAUAUUGGCCUUUAAUAAAACAUUUAAAGCUG